rnacentral:rRNA from 1 species
GACGAACGCUGGCGGCGUGCCUAAUACAUGCAAGUCGAGCGGAUGGAAGGAAGCUUGCUUCCUAAAGUCAGCGGCGGACGGGUGAGUAACACGUGGGCAACCUGCCCCUAAGAUCGGGAUAACUUCGGGAAACCGGAGCUAAUACCGGAUGUGAUUAUGUCUCACAUGAGACAUAAUGGAAAGAUGGUUUCGGCUGUCACUUAGGGAUGGGCCCGCGGCGCAUUAGCUAGUUGGUGAGGUAACGGCUCACCAAGGCGACGAUGCGUAGCCGACCGGAGAGCGUGAUCGGCCACACUGGGACUGAGAAACGGCCCAGACUCCUACGGGAGGCAGCAGUAGGGAAUCUUCCGCAAUGGACGAAAGUCUGACGGAGCAACGCCGCGUGAGUGAAGAAGGUUUUCGGAUCGUAAAACUCUGUUGUUAGGGAAGAACAAGUACCAUAGUAACUGAUGGUACCUUGACGGUACCUAACCAGAAAGCCACGGCUAACUACGUGCCAGCAGCCGCGGUAACAC